rnacentral:RNase_P_RNA from 1 species
CGAGCCGGCCGGGCGGCCGCGUCGGGGCCAGGCCCCGCCGAGGAAGGUCCGGGCUCCACAGGGCAAGGUGGUCGGUAACACCGACCCGGGGCGACCCGCGGGACAGUGCCACAGAAAACAAACCGCCUCCCCCUUCGGGGAAGGUAAGGGUGAAACGGUGGUGUAAGAGACCACCAGCGCUCACGGUGACGUGAGCGGCUAGGUAAACCCCACCUGGAGCAAGGUCAAGAAGGGACUCUCGCAAGAGAGCCCCGCGCGCGGCACUUGAGGGCGACCCGUCCGAGUCGCGCGGGUAGACCGCUUGAGGCCGUCGGCAACGACGACCCUAGAUGGAUGGCCGCCUCUUCGCACCAGCGAAGAACAGAACCCGGCCUACAGGCCGGCUCGCCCG